rfam:Schistosoma curassoni strain Dakar, Senegal genome assembly, scaffold: SCTD_scaffold0000166
AUCCAGUUGACGUGUCCCAAAUAGGACGAAACACUGGUGUUGGAU